rnacentral:rRNA from 1 species
GAUGAACGCUGACAGAAUGCUUAACACAUGCAAGUCAACUUGAAUUUGGGUUUUUUAACUUAGAUUUGGGUGGCGGACGGGUGAGUAACGCGUAAAGAACUUGCCUCACAGCUAGGGACAACAUUUGGAAACGAAUGCUAAUACCUGAUAUUAUGAUUAUAAGGCAUCUUAGAAUUAUGAAAGCUAAAUGCGCUGUGAGAGAGCUUUGCGUCCCAUUAGCUAGUUGGAGAGGUAACGGCUCACCAAGGCGAUGAUGGGUAGCCGGCCUGGGAGGGUGAACGGCCACAAGGGGACUGAGACACGGCCCUUACUCCUACGGGAGGCAGCAGUGGGGAAUAUUGGACAAUGGACCAAGAGUCUGAUCCAGCAAUUCUGUGUGCACGAUGACGUUUUUCGGAAUGUAAAGUGCUUUCAGUUGGGAAGAAAAAAAUGACGGUACCAACAGAAGAAGUGACGG